GGAUUGCGUUUCAUUUGAUAGGCUACAUUUGUGCUUUAAUAAUUACUGCCGGUGUCUCGGUUAUAUCAAGGACGGGCAUUUCGAUGUAUUAAUUACUGAAUAUGUUAGUCAAUCGAAAUGCCAGCGGGCAGCAAAAAAACUAUGGCGAGCUCUGAAUCAUCGAGAAAAGUAUAACGCUGAAAAUAUGACUAGGUCUACCAAGAAUUGGCUACAUUUACCAACAUUGUUCCAUCGUGGCGUAACAUUUAACAUAUCAACGUUUGAUGAAACAUGACAGUGAAGAAUAUGAGGGUGGUAUAAUUAGGUGGCAAUGUGCAUUAGGUGGAUGAGUGUCAGAGAAAAUGGUAGCCUAUAGUCGACCUGAGUUUUGAAUAGGCCAGUAAAAAAAAAAGACAAGUGAGUAUCGGUCAUGCGUUUUUAUAAGGGUCGCUGGCAAAAGACCCCUGAAAAUGCAUGAUUAAGGUGACGCUAUGCAUGUACACUAUGCAUAUGUAUGCAUGGUAGGCUAUCAAGAGUUAGACAAUACAUAGCCUAGGCCCAAGGCUAUGUAUUGGCCCCUUGACUAUUGAAUGUCAUACCUUUUACAUCAACAGUUAGACAAUACAGUCAGUUAUCUAUGCAUAAUCACUUUAAUCACUCUACCUACAUGUACAUAUUACCUGAAUUACCUCGACACCGGUGCCCUCGCACAUUGACUCUGUACCCUGUAUAUAGCCCUGCUAUUGUUAUUUACUGCUGCUCUUUAAUCAUUUGUUUUUCUUAUCUCUUACUUUUUUUAGGCAUGUUCUUAACAGCAUUGUUGGUUAAGGGCGUGUGACUCUGAUCAGUGUCUCAUUGAUACAAAGGGCAAAGGUGUAAAGGGGUGUGUCUUUGCCACUAGGAUUUCACAGUUCUUUUCUACACACCCUUUAAUAAUAGUAAAAUCAUCACAGUCAGAAGAGGACAAGCCAUCUGAGGCCUCCUAGCCAGCUGCUUAGACAGGGCCUCCUCUAGCUUUCAUUACCCCAUGUGGUUAGCCAUUCUUGCUGGCUGGGACUGAAAUCCAGAAAAGAUCCAGACAUGAUUACUGCUGCUUAUGUCAGAGGACAAGUCACUCUUCUCUGAUAAGGACACACAUAAAGUUUUAUGAGUGGAGAUGUUUAUGAGUUUCUUGUUAAAUUACCUUUCAAUCCAUUCUCUUAAAUGUUUCAAUUCCACCUGUGUCUGCAUCUGAUGUUUCUCUUUUUGUUAAAUAGAGGCCAGAAAUAUAUUGAAUGUAAUAAAUGUAGAUACUAAGUAAGAAUAAACUUGGAUUUUUUUGCAUGUGCACCCUAUCUCUACGCUGAAUGUCAGUCUGCAAGACUUUUGAGUAAACUCAUAUUGAGGUUUAUAUACAUGUUUUGUCUGGUGCAGGGACUCCUGUCCUCAAACGCGUUAUAGAUGCUAAGGGAUCCGAGGAAAUAAAAUCAAUGGUCACAUUUCAAAAAAUCUAAAUCACGUUUUUAACCAUUGUUAUUUUCCUUACAAACACUUUGAAAUAGUAUAGAAUGAUUUAUCUGUGAUAGAAAUACCAAUUGAAUGAUUUUAAAAAUGGAAAUACAAAGCAUCAACAAUAGAUCUGACCUGUGACAAAUUCUUCACCUGGAAGGCCCAAGACUGUCCCCUGAAAUCAAUGUUGGACAUACUUCUAAGACAUCACAUUGAAGGACAUAAAGACAAAAUACAUGUUAAAGCAUGUAGACCAGCGUUCUACAGCGUUCAUCUACUUCUUGAAUGAUCAUUCCCAUAUCUGAUCUUUACAGAAGGUAACACAGGUGAUAAGGCAUUAAAUGGUGGGUAAAACAUUGUUAAACUACUGCUGUAGUUAUAUUUUUCAUGACCUAGUAACUUGACCUAGUAACUGCUGAAGGUGAAUGAAUUACAGAAUAAGAUCUCCCUAGCUCUGGCAGAACUAGUGCUCCCUUGUGGAGACUAUGGGUAGUUCACCCUCACUCGCUCCUCAUGCCAAGUGGUAUGGCUUUUGAGACUGUCCUGCCAAAGAAGAGGCUGAAAUCUGGGACAACUCCAUCCUCAGGCCAGCAUUUUUACAUCAAUAGUUGUCACAAACUGCUUUACAGAAACCCAGCCUAAAACCCAACAGAGCAAGCAAUCCAGGUGCAGAAGAACAGUGGUUAGGAAAGGCAAAAUCAAUGUUUAUAGGUCGUGUACACAGAUUUGCAGAUGUUUUCGUAGGUGCAGUGAAAUACUUAUGUAUCUAGCUCCAACAGUGCAGUAAUGUCUACAAACAAUAUAGUAACCCCAAAAAGUAGAAUGCUUGUUUUGGAAUAUUUGUAUUCUUUAAUUUAUGUUAGUAUUGUGGAGUAACUACAAUGUUGUUGAUCCAUCCUCAGUUUUCUCCUAUCACAGCCAUUAAACUCUGUAACUGUUGUAAAAUCA